UACGAAGGUGGCUAGCGUUGUUCGGAAUCACUGGGCGUAAAGCGCACGUAGGCGGAUGUGUCAGUCAGGGGUGAAAUCCCGGGGCUCAACCUCGGAACUGCCUCUGAUACAGCACGUCUUGAGUCCGGAAGAGGUGGGUGGAAUUCCUAGUGUAGAGGUGAAAUUCGUAGAUAUUAGGAAGAACACCGGUGGCGAAGGCGACCCACUGGUCCGGUACUGACGCUCAGGUGCGACAGCUUUGGGAGCAAACAGG
rnacentral:rRNA from 1 species